rfam:Morus notabilis contig16832, whole genome shotgun sequence.
UGCCAAUGAUGAUAUCAAUGGUAUAUUGGGUUUUAUGAUUUAUCGUGAUUACCUCAUACCACUACUGCCUUCCUUCUGAGGCU